AAAAUCUAAGAGUUAGGGGUAGUUGAAAAGGCGACAGAUAAGAACCUGGAUUCCAUUUCAGUACCCCUAAGGCAACCGCAUACAAAGUAUCUACUACCGACACAGUGUCGGGUGUGGUCCAGGCUAACUCUGUAACAAUAACGAAUGAGAAAUAUGUAGUCAUAAAUACAGUAAGAACAAGUUCAAUAGAAACCCGCUCUAAGUGGUGUCAAGAUUUCAUCCCAAUUCCCCAACGGACAAGACGCAUUCAAGUAUCGUUUCCAUCAUCAAUCGUGACUACAGUGUCUACUGGUGUUCAUUGUUUGAGUCUGUUUGGUGAAAUGCCUUUAAUAGUGGCUGCUGGUCUUUUGCCAUCCCAUCAACAGUCCAGACAAUCCACCAGCCAGAUCAAAUCAGUGAUAAACAUGAUGACAGUGAUGAGGGUGAUUAUCAAGAUCCCGACUAUGAUGCUCCCGAGGAAAGUGAUAGUGAGAAUGAGGACUCCAAUAUUUUCCCAUUGCGACUGAAAGUGAAGCCAAAAGAUGAACGACAGUUCCUUGUAUUAGAAUCAAGAUUAGGAAAGCUUCUACGGAAAUGUGACAUCUGUGGCAUGAACUCGCAUUGGCAUCUGAAUAUUACAAAGGGCACUAUGAUAGGAACAAUAUCAGCAUGUUCUUAUGGGCAUUCUUCAGAUUCUGUGUAGCCACCCUACACUCCAACGAAAAUGGCACCUGAUAACAAGCUAGAACGACUGGAGCAGCACGGUGGCAUUUGAGUUUAAGGGGAUAUCAUAGUCGUGAUAACUGAUAAAACUCCAAUUACCUAUGGAUUUUCACUACAUCUUCAUACUAUGGGAGAUUCUGCGCACCAACUCAAUUGAACGCCAUCUUCAGUUUUCGUCUCGUCCAGCAGAGGCAUAUUACAGUGCGACAUUUAACUCUGGACACGACAAAAGUCCGGAGUUUCGCCAACCCUUUUAUUAAGGAUACAAAUAAACCCUUUACAAAAAAAGAUGGGAUUUUAUGUCCACAAGACAUGCACCAACAUUUACACUUGUAACUAUUGUAGUUUUUAAGAUAUUUCACCUGAAAUCAAAAAAUCCCAUGGGAUUUUGGAGGGAUUUUUAAUCCCACUUGGGGGAUUUUCACUCCUACCAAAAAUCCCAUGGGAGAAAAAAUAUAAUUUCUCCCAUAGGAUUUUAACUCCCAUAUUUAAAUUCAAAAUGGGAUACAAUGUCCCAUAGGAGGAAAUGUCCCAUAAUGAACAUGAAAUGGCAGUGAAUAUCCUAUUUGAGCAUGAAUGGGAAUAAAUAUCCCAAAUAAAACACAGGAUGGGGACUUUUAUCCCAUGAAUAUAGUAAUAAAGCAGAAAAUUGUAUCUUAAAGAGUGUUGUUUGUCAUGAUUCUUAAGAAUGUACUUGCAAGCUAAGGAAUGACAUUAACUUUGUAUCUAGUAAUUACAUUCCUAAAUUAUGUAGACCUAUACAUGUGUUAAUGGAUAAAUGUCUAAACAACAUGAGAAAUUAAAUUAUAUUAGAGCUCUGCAUUACUAAACUCUUUCCCAUGCAAUUUCAAUUGUAUACAUAUAACCCUAUCACAAAAAUAUUAGAAUAAAAUUGAACGGUAUUAAAUUAUGCAGUUAGAACACUAACUUAUUUACAUGCAGCUGUUCACAUUCUCUAUUUACAACCCUUUACAGGUCGUCAGGUGUGAAUAUUCACAGGAACCGGUAUUUUUGUCUGUAAUAAUAAUAGUAGGCCCUAUGGUACCAUCCCCAAUGAAAAAAAUAACCUAAAAGGAAUGGCACCAUUUCUUACUCAAAACUUCGCUUCAAAAUAAUUCGAAAAUUCUGCUUUUAUCGUCCCCACCCCAAUUGUCAUUCUGAUUCAGUAAUCCCAGUACUUUUAUUAGGGGUGUGUGGUAUAUACCCCUACUCUUAUCAUUAUGUACAGGCUAAAUUACCGGUUCCUCUGAUAUGUUGUGGAAUUUUGGAAUAGCCUAGCUUACAGUUACAAUUUGUUUACAAUAUAUUAAAAUUAGUGUUAAUUAAGUGCUUACGGUGAAAUCUGCUACUGCUAGAUGAUGCUAAGUUGUUUCGUGAACCGAAUCAGACAUCUCCAACAAGAUUCUCGAAGAUUUAACAACACAAGAAUCAUUUUACAAAAUGCAUGCUUCGGUCCAUCAUUCUCCCUCUGACAAUCACAUUCAUUCUGAAGUCAAAGUACUUUCUCCUAUACCUGAAGCGUCAAAAAGACUUUGACAGGUAAAUACGAAUAAACGGUUAACAGACAUCUCGACCCUAAGAAAGUUCAGUCCUGGAUGUUCUAGUCCAAAAAGAAGUAUGAUCCAAUCUUAUGCAUUCAUUUAUUACAUUUCCGGUUGAGCAACACCCAAAUCCUCUAGAGACAUUGUUUACAGUUAUAUGACAUUACCUAAAUGUGUGACACAAUAUUAAUCCACCCCUGCUCAAAGGGGCAUAAGCACCGAGCAUAGACCUAAAUGUUGCAGCCCUUCACUGGCAAUGGUGACGUCUCCAUACAAGUGAAAAAUUCUCAAACAGGACGUUUACGUUUUUUUUGGGUUUUUUUUUUUAAUUUUGUUUUCAUUUUUUUAAAUGUUAAACAUGAAAAGUAUAACUGAAUCUGUGUUCACAGCCAAAAUUUUAACCUUCUGGAUGCAGGAAUAAAAGCAAUAUUUUAGCCUUCAUUCUGUGUUAUGUAAACAAAGACUGGAGUCUUUUUAUGUUUACAUUUAAGGUGGCUCACUACACCGGGAAAUAGUUUCUCAAAUCAGUACAAAUAGAUUUAAUAUUUUAAAAAAGAUCUGAUGAUAUACAAUAAGUGUGUAUGCCAAAAACAGCAAAAAAUGCAAAUUUGGAUAAAAACAUGAUUUUCAAAAAUAUUAUUUCAACACAUGAACAAAAGACUGGUGGAUUUGAGCUCAAGAUCUGUAGUUCACCAGCCCAAUGCUCUCUCUCUCUCUCUCUUUCUCUCUCUCUCUCUCUCUUGCCCAAUGCUUUAUUAAUUAACCACUUAGCUAUGGUGUUAUAGACGAAUAAAUCGAUCAAUACAAAUACUUUUCCAAAACAUUUAAAUCGCCAUCUUGUAACAUAGUGUCAUAAAGCUUUAGUGUAGUGAGUACCUUAACAAACCAGUGAAAUGUUUAAUUUUGUAAUUGAAUUUUCAAAGCAUCUUUACUUUUGCACAUGCAAUUUUACAAAGAUUAUUCAAUAAAGGGUAAAAAAAAAAAAAAAACACUUAAAAUACUUGUUUUUGAUCCACUGUAGAUUUUAGGAAAAUAUUAGAUUCCUGGGUCAGAGAAAUCUAGACAUCAUUAAAUGAUAAUGAAGUAUUGUAUAAAAAAAAAAAAAAAAAAAAAAAAAAAAAUUCAAGACUCUUCAAUAUGUUU